GACGAACGCUGGCGGCGUGCUUAACACAUGCAAGUCGAACGCUGAACCCGCUUCGGUGGGGGGUGAGUGGCGAACGGGUGAGUAACACGUGGGCAACCUGCCCCCGGCUCUGGGAUAACUCCAAGAAAUUGGGGCUAAUACCGGAUGUGACCGCUGGCCGCAUGGUCUGGUGGUGGAAAGGGUUUCCGGCUGGGGAUGGGCCCGCGGCCUAUCAGCUUGUUGGUGGGGUAGUGGCCUACCAAGGCGACGACGGGUAGCCGGCCUGAGAGGGUGACCGGCCACACUGGGACUGAGAGACGGCCCAGACUCCUACGGGAGGCAGAAGUGGGGAAUAUUGCGCAAUGGGCGGAAGCCUGACGCAGCGACGCCGCGUGGGGGAUGACGGCCUUCGGGUUGUAAACCUCUUUCAGCAGGGACGAAGCGCAAGUGACGGUACCUGCAGAAGAAGCACCGGCUAACUACGUG
rnacentral:rRNA from 1 species